rnacentral:rRNA from 1 species
UACGAAGGGGGCUAGCGUUGCUCGGAAUGACUGGGCGUAAAGGGCGCGUAGGCGGAUGGCACAGUCAGAUGUGAAAUUCCCGGGCUUAACCUGGGGGCUGCAUUUGAUACGUGUUGUCUUGAGUUCGGAAGAGGGUCGUGGAAUUCCCGGUGUAGCGGUGAAAUGCGCAGAUAUCGGGAAGAACACCCGUGGCGAAGGCGGCUCUCUGGGACGGUACUGACGCUGAGACGCGAAAGCGUGGGGAGCGAACAGG